rfam:Triticum aestivum genome assembly, contig: Triticum_aestivum_CS42_TGACv1_scaffold_499694_6BL
CAGGUAUUCCUCCGUCCGGAAAUACUUGUCGGAGAAAUGGAUUAAAAUGGGUGUAUCUAGAACUAAAAUACGUCUAGGUACACUCUCUUCUCCGACAAGUAUUUUUGGACGGAGGGAGUAUAAU